UACAAACUAUCGAAAGAUAAAUAUAAAUUUUAAAUAAUAAACAGAAACUAUGAAUAAUAAAUACAAACUUUGAAUAAUAAAUACAAACUAUGAAUAAUAAAUAGAAACUAUGAAUAAUAAAUAUAAACUUUGAAUAAUAAAUAAAAAUUAUGAAUAAUAAACAUAAACUUCGUAUCGAUAAAUAGAAACUCCUUAGGAUAAACAUAAACUCAUCGAGUGAUUCUAGAGUCUACCAUGACAA
rnacentral:lncRNA from 1 species